CGAUUGCAUUGGAGUAUACACUGAAAAUAUUCAAUUAUUUCUUUACGGCUGUUUUCAUAUUGGAAGCUAUCAUGAAGCUAAUUGCACUUGGAUUCAAAAUUUAUAUGAAAGAAAAAUGGAAUCAGCUCGAUGUGGGUAUUGUAAUAUUGUCUGUGGUCGGAAUUGUGUUGGAAGAACUGGAAACCAACAUCAUACCAAUAAAUCCAACAAUCAUUCGAGUGAUGCGCGUCAUGCGAAUCGCUAGAGUCCUCAAACUACUGAAAAUGGCCAAGGGUAUACGGGCUUUGCUGGAUACGGUGAUGCAAGCCCUUCCACAAGUCGGAAAUCUUGGUUUACUAUUUUUCCUAUUGUUUUUUAUAUUUGCCGCACUG